rnacentral:rRNA from 1 species
UCCAGCGAACUUGGCAGAGAUGCCUUGGUGCCUUCGGGAACGCUGAGACAGGUGCUGCAUGGCUGUCGUCAGCUCGUGUUGUGAAAUGUUGGGUUAAGUCCCGCAACGAGCGCAACCCUUAUCCUUUGUUGCCAGCGAUUCGGUCGGGAACUCAAAGGAGACUGCCGGUGAUAAACCGGAGGAAGGUGGGGAUGACGUCAAGUCAUCAUGGCCCUUACGAGUAGGGCUACACACGUGCUACAAUGGCGCAUACAAAGAGAAGCGACCUCGCGAGAGCAAGCGGACCUCAUAAAGUGCGUCGUAGUCCGGAUCGGAGUCUGCAACUCGACUCCGUGAAGUCGGAAUCGCUAGUAAUCGUGGAUCAGAAUGCCACGGUGAAUACGUUCCCGGGCCUUGUACACACCGCCCGUCACACCAUGGGAGUGGGUUGCAAAAGAAGUAGGUAGCUUAACCUUCGGGAGGGCGCUUACCACUUUGUGAUUCAUGACUGGGGUGAAGUCGUAACAAGGUAGGCGUAGCGAG